rnacentral:rRNA from 1 species
CAACCCUGAUCCGCAUGCCGCGUGAGUGAUGAAAGGCCUUCGGGUUGUAAACCUCUUUCACCCGGGAUGAUAAUGACCUUACCUGGACAAUAAGCUCCGGCUAACUCCGUGCCAACAACCGCGGUAAUACUGAGGGAGCUAGCGUUGUUCGGAAUUACUGGGGGUAAAGCGCACCUAAGCGGCUUUUUAAAUCAGGGGUGAAAUCCCGGGGCUCAACCCCGGAACUGCCCUUGAGACUGGAAAGCUAAAAUCUUGUAGAGGCUGGUGGAAUUCCGAGUGUAAAAGGGAAAUUCAUAUAUAUUCGGAAGAACACCAUUGGCAAAUGCGACUCGCUGGACCAAUAUUGACGCUAAUGCGCUAAACCUUGGGGAGCAAACAGGAUUAAAUACCCGGGUAGUCCACGCCAUAAACUAUCAUGACUAUCUGUCCCGUUUCCUGGAACUUGGGUGGCGCGGCUAACUCCUUACUUUAUCCCCCUGGGGAGUACGGUCGCAGAAUUAAAGCUCAUGAAAUUUCCCGGGAUUGAAACUCAAGAGUAGGCAUGACA